rnacentral:tRNA from 1 species
AAUAUAGUGGUGAGUAUCUCCGCCUGUCAAGUGGAAGGCACGGGUUCAAUUCCCGGU